UACGUAGGGUGCAAGCGUUGUCCGGAAUUAUUGGGCGUAAAGAGCUCGUAGGCGGUUUGUCGCGUCUGCUGUGAAAAUCCAGGGCUUAACCCUGGACCUGCAGUGGGUACGGGCAGACUGGAGUGCGGUAGGGGAGAUCGGAAUUCCUGGUGUAGCGGUGAAAUGCGCAGAUAUCAGGAGGAACACCGGUGGCGAAGGCGGAUCUCUGGGCCGUAACUGACGCUGAGGAGCGAAAGCAUGGGGAGCAAACAGG
rnacentral:rRNA from 1 species